rnacentral:rRNA from 1 species
AAUAUUGGACAAUGGGGGCAACCCUGAUCCAGCCAUGCCGCGCGUGUGAAGAGGGUGUUCGGAUUGUAAAGCACUUUAAGUUGGGAGGAAGGGCUUUAGGCUAUGACCCUGAAGGUAUGACGUUACAAACAGAAUAAGCCACGGCUAACACUGCGCCGGCAGCCGCGGUAAUACAGAGGGUGCAAGCGUUAAUCGGAAUUCCUGGGCGUAAAGCGGGCGUAGGGUGUUCGGUAAGAUGGGUGUGAAAUCCCCGGGCUUAACCUGGGAACUGCUUCCAUAACUGCUGAGCUAGAGUACGGUAGAGGGUAGUGGAAUUUCCUGUGUAGCGGUGAAAUGCGUAGAUAUAGGAAGGAACACCAGUGGCGAAGGCGACUACCUGGACUGUUACUGACACUGAGGUGCGAAAGCGUGGGGAGCAAAC